rnacentral:lncRNA from 1 species
UGCUUGCACCGGCUCCAGACCGGUUCACCUGUGUAUAAAAGUGCCGUGCACACCAGAGGGACCAGCAGUCGCAGCAGUGCAAUCACUCAGCCAGCCAUGAAGGUCGUCGCUCUCCUGCUUGUGGUCUGCGUCUCCGUGGGCUGGGCGAAGCCUUUCUGCGCCCACGGUAUCUGCAUUCCUACCAGCGAAGCUACUGGGGGUGCCUCGGGCGAUGUCGUCAGUGGUACAAGCAUUGGCCCUCAUGGUGCCACUAAGGUUACGUCCGUCAGCUCCUCUGCAGGGGGAUCUGCCAGAGGACCGUGUGCAUCCAGCUUCAAUACGGGACAUGCCGGAUUAUUUAGCUCACAGGAUAUCUAUGGCAAUAGGGAGAAUGUCGACACUGGUGCCACCUCAAUCCAAAACACCGGCUGCUGAAUGACUCAGUCACAGUCAUCUCGGCAUGCGCCGCAAUGGCACACAUGAAACGCUUGUUACAUCCACGAACGUUGUGAUAUCGGCGUCGGUUGUGACAUGUGAUCGAAGUUUGCAAUACAGGCUUACCCCCGACA